UUAUUUGCCCACACUGCCCUGCAAGUGCCUGAGCCUGUCUAGUCUUGGAAGCUAAGCAGGUUAGUACUUGGAUGGGAGACCACCUUGGAAGACCAGGGGCCAAUAGU
rnacentral:rRNA from 12 species